rnacentral:rRNA from 1 species
UACGUAGGGUGCGAGCGUUAAUCGGAAUUACUGGGCGUAAAGAGUGUGUAGGCGGUGCUCUAAGUUCGGUGUGAAAUCUCCUGGCUUAACUGGGAGGGUGCGCCGGAAACUGGAGUGCUCGAGCGUGGGAGAGGAAAGCGGAAUUCCUGGUGUAGCGGUGAAAUGCGUAGAUAUCAGGAGGAACACCUGCGGUGUAGACGGCUUUCUGGACCAUUGCUGACGCUGAGACACGAAAGCGUGGGUAGCAAACAGG